rnacentral:snRNA from 1 species
GCACUUGCUUUAACAGUACAAAUUGUAGAAUUGGAACGGUACAGAGAAGAUUGGUAUAGGCCACGAGCAACGAUGAUAAGCAAAAUGGUGAAGCGUUCCAUAUUUUU